GCGAGUCAUUGUAGUAAUACAGGCAGACGGCUCAGUAACGCGUACUCACCUAACCUAUGGACGGGAAUAACCUCGGGAAACUGAGCAUAAUGCCCGAUAGAACAUUAUGCCUGGAAUGGUUUAUGUUCCAAAUGAUUUAUCGCCGUAGGAUGGGACUGCGGCCUAUCAGUUUGUUGGUGAGGUAAUGGCCCACCAAGACUAUUACAGGUACGGGCUCUGAGAGGAGUAGCCCGGAGAUGGGUACUGAGACACGGACCCAGGCCCUAUGGGGCGCAGCAGGCGAGAAAACUUUGCAAUGUGCGAAAGCACGACAAGGUUAAUCCGAGUGGUUUCUGCUAAAGGAACCUUUUGUCGAUCCUAGAAACACCGAUGAAUAAGGGGUGGGCAAGUUCUGGUGUCAGCCGCCGCGGUAAAACCAGCACCUCAAGUGGUCAGGAUGAUUAUUGGGCCUAAAGCAUCCGUAGCCGGCUCUGUUAGUUUUCGGUUAAAUCUGUACGCUCAACGUACAGGCUGC
rnacentral:rRNA from 1 species